rnacentral:tRNA from 1 species
AGCGUAGUAGUUAAAUUUUAUAAUGUUUGUUUUACACACAAAAGAUGAAGCUUUUAAACUUCCGGCGUUA